AUUAAAAACAAAUUAAAAUUAAAAAAGGAAUUAGGGUUAGAAAUGGGACCAUUCGAGUUUUUCUUUUCACACGCAGACUUCUUCUUCCUCUUCGCAAACAAGAAAACCGCGGCGGCUAUUCCAUGGAUCUCCGGUGAAGACUCUUUCUCGCUCCACCGUGAAUAUCGCUACGACCUCACCAUCCUCACCCUUCCCAAACUUCGCUCAAUCUCUCGGUCACUUGCAGCGGCGACGGUGAUAAUGACUUCACCCUUCCCCGACGACGAAUCUCCGACUGUCAUUUGCAGAUGAAGGAGCGUUGCGUGCUGUGUAGCGAAGAAGAUGAUUAUAUGUUACGAAAGGUUUUACGAAGAUGAUGAAGAUUAUCGAAGCGAAAUGGCAAAUUGUCAAGAAACGGUUAUGGUGAUGAUGAUGAAGAUGAUGGAGGGCGAGGAAGAUUGAAAGAGGAUUCCAGAGCGGCUGAAGGUUUGUUACGUUUCAGUUUCGGUUAUCUCUUUUUUUUCUCUGUUAUCGAUUCUCUCUGAUCUUUUUCUAUCACAUUUUUCUGGUGAUUGAAUUGGAGAGGUUCAGAGUGAGAUUCUUGAAGAUUGAAGAUGCGAUCAAGAUUUUCUGGAGAUUUUCUGUUGUUCAAGGUGAAUGGAGAGAGUGAAGAUUGGGGAAAGGUUGAAGAUGAUAUUGAUGGAGGGAGAAUCGAGAGAGAGAUUCAAGAGAGCUUCCAGUUUUUGUUACAUUCUGUUAUCGUGAAUUGAAGUAUGGAGAACUCAGAUCAAAGAAGCUGAAGAACGGUUUUGGAGAAACGUUUCUCGGUUAGAAGUUUGUUAUAGGUUUGGGCGCUUGGUUUUGGUGGCUGCCGGUUCACAAAGUGUUGCGUAAACACUGCUUAAGACACGUCAUGGCAUUCUUGCCCAUGGAGCAAAUUUGAAGGUAGACGAAAUUGAAGAUUAGCAUAGGAAAAAUGGAUUUUAGGAUCACUAAUGGCAUAUCUUUUGUAACUCAAUUUUUGUAAUGAAUUGUAUGUAUUUUCCUUGAAUUUAAUGGAUAUUUGGAUGAAUGUGAAUGAUAUUUAUAAUGA